UGUCUAGUAUAAGCAACUAUACCGUGAAACUGCGAAUGGCUCAUUAUAUCAGUCUAAAUAUACUUGAUAGUACCUUACUACUUGGAUAACCGUGGUAAUUCUAGAGCUAAUACAUGCUAAAAACCCAGACUUCGGAAUGGGUGUAUUUAUUAGAUAAAAAACCAAUGCCCUUCGGGGCUCCUUGGUGAUUCAUGAUAACUUAACGAAUCGCAUGGCCUUGUGCCGGCGAUGGUUCAUUCUAUAUUCUGCCCUAUCAACUUUCGAUGGUAGGAUAGUGGCCUACCAUGGUUUCAACGGGUAACGGGGAAUUAGGGUUCUAUUCCGGAGAGGGAGCCUGAGAAACGGCUACCACAUCCAAGGAAGGCAGCAGGCGCGCAAAUUACCCAAUCCCGACACGGGGAGGUAGUGACAAUAAAUACUGAUCUUGGGCCAUUUUUGGUCUAAGAAUUGGAAUGAGUACAAUUUAAAUCCCUUAACGAGGAACAAUUGGAGGGCAAGUCUGGUGCCAGCAGCCGCGGUAAUUCCAGCUCCAAUAGCGUAUAUUAAAGUUGUUGCAGUUAAAAAGCUCGUAGUUGAACCUUGGGCCUGGCUGGCCGGUCCGCCUCACCGCGUGCACUGGUCCGGCCGGGCCUUUCCUUCUGAGGAGCCGCAUGCCCUUCACUGGGUGUGUCGGGGAAUCAGGACUUUUACUUUGAAAAAAUUAGAGUGUUCAAAGCAGGCCUAUGCUCGAAUACAUUAGCAUGGAAUAAUAGAAUAGGACGUGUGGUUCUAUUUUGUUGGUUUCUAGGACCGCCGUAAUGAUUAAUAGGGAUAGUCGGGGGCAUCAGUAUUCAAUUGUCAGAGGUGAAAUUCUUGGAUUUAUUGAAGACUAACUACUGCG
rnacentral:rRNA from 1 species